rnacentral:rRNA from 1 species
UACGGGGGGGGCAAGCGUUGUUCGGAAUUACUGGGCGUAAAGGGCUCGUAGGCGGCCAACUAAGUCGGAUGUGAAAUCCCCAGGCUUAACCUGGGAACUGCAUCCGAUACUGGAUGGCUUGAAUCCGGGAGAGGGAUGCGGAAUUCCAGGUGUAGCGGUGAAAUGCGUAGAUACUGGGAGGAACACCAGUGGCGAAGGCGGCUCACUGGUCCGGUACUGACGCUGAGGUGCGAAAGCGUGGGGAGCAAACGGG